UACGGAGGGGGGCGAGCGUUAAUCGGAAUUACUGGGCGUAAAGCGUGCGCAGGCGGUUGUGCAAGACAGAUGUGAAAUCCCCGGGCUCAACCUGGGAAUUGCAUUUGUGACUGCACGGCUAGAGUGUGUCAGAGGGGGGGUAGAAUUCCACGUGUAGCAGUGAAAUGCGUAGAUAUGCGGAGGAACACCGAUGGCGAAGGCAAUCCCCUGGACCUGUACUGACGCUCAUGCACGAAAGCGUGGGGGAGCAAACGG
rnacentral:rRNA from 1 species